rnacentral:rRNA from 1 species
UACGAAGGGGGGCUAGCGUUGCUCGGAAUGACUGGGCGUAAAGGGCGCGUAGGCGGAUGGCACAGUCAGAUGUGAAAUUCCCGGGCUUAACCUGGGGGCUGCAUUUGAUACGUGUUGUCUUGAGUUCGGAAGAGGGUCGUGGAAUUCCCAGUGUAGAGGUGAAAUUCGUAGAUAUUGGGAAGAACACCGGUGGCGAAGGCGGCGCACUGGACCAUAACUGACGCUGAGGCGCGAAAGCUAGGGGAGCAAACAGG